rnacentral:rRNA from 1 species
UACGUAGGUGGCAAGCGUUGUCCGGAUUUACUGGGCGUAAAGGAUGCGUAGGCGGACAUUUAAGUCAGAUGUGAAAUACCCGAGCUUAACUUGGGUGCUGCAUUUGAAACUGGGUGUCUAGAGUGCAGGAGAGGUAAGUGGAAUUCCUAGUGUAGCGGUGAAAUGCGUAGAGAUUAGGAAGAACACCAGUGGCGGAGGCGACUUACUGGACUGUAACUGACGCUGAGGCAUGAAAGCGUGGGGAGCAAACAGG